rnacentral:lncRNA from 1 species
AUUUUUCCUCUCUAGUGAAAUGUGAGUGUAUGUGUUUUUUAAAGUUUUCUCCAGAAGCAAUGUUUCUCCUCUACAUGAAGAAAAUUGAAAUGUUUCAACUAUUUCAUCUCUUAUGUUUCAAAAUAGUAAUUAAUUUUAAUAUUCCAAAGAAUUCAGACAUUUCUAGUACUGUGCUAUAUACAGUUGUACAACAUAGCAUUUCUAUUCUGCUUAACAGUUUGCAAAAUGUCUUCACAUAUAGAAUUUCUACAGAGGCAUCAUUUUCAAAUACAGAAAAUGUUCAGAGAAUAUCAUUUUUGAUGAUGAUAUGGGGGUGACUAUUCUGGUAUCACUUGAAGAAGCAGUACUUUGCGAAAAAGGAAGUAACUGAUUAUAGGAGGUCAAAAUGCCCUGAUGCUCAUAUCUAUGGAAAACAUGAUUUCUCCUCUGAAUUUAUGACAAAGUUUAUGACGAUUUUCCCCUUCCUUAUAAGCCCUCAGAUUGAUCUUUGUAAUUGCUUUUCAAAAUUUAAUUUACAUUAUUAAACUUCACUUCACUUAUUUAAAAAUAGAUAUUUAAAUCUCUUAUUUGUUUAAAAAGUCUGAAAUAUAUUGUAAACAAAAUAUGUACAGAAAAUAUGCCACCAUUGGGAGGCACAAGUGAGAGUUUGGGAAAAUGUAAGGUUAUUUUUCCACCUCUGGAGGUGUCCUUGACAAUAGCAACAGUUGAAUAGGGUAACCAAAGUUGAUUGCAGGUGGCUGCAGACUCCAACAAUAUUAGCAGUAAUUGGAGCAGCAGCAGCAGCAGCAGCAGCAGCAGCAGCAGCAGCAGCAGCAGGAAAACAGGAUCCUGGAUUCCCGCUCAGUAGCUGUGGUGUGAAACAACUGCAGCCAUGACAGCCUUAUAUAAUCUCCAGCAACUUAAGCAGGACUUGUGGCAUGUUCGGGGUAUAUCACAGCUUCCUGAGUUUGAUAUAACUGCUUACUUUCCCUAUUCCACCUUUGGUUUGUCCCUGCAGAUAACACCAAUAUGGCCAAUUAUCUUCCUGCAUGAAAUAUCCAAAGUGGUGUCUCAUACUGACCUGAGCAAACAUCAACUGAUACGUGUGCUAAUAGAAGUGGCACCAGGAAACAGACCUUUCAAUUGUUAAUCUGAGAAUGGUUAUUUGACCUGAUUAUAAAUGUUGAUCUCAUCACAUUUGGAAAAUGAGACUCAGGCCUGGGAGGAUGAUGGCAGUGGCUGUCAUUGACCUUCAGCUUUCUUAUUUCAAUGGGUUUAAUUCUAAUCCUGAGGUGGCAGAUGCAGUGACUGAGUGGACAUAGGAUGAGACUGACAAUUACAAUAUUUUUAUCUGCAGGGAUAAUUAUUAACAGCUUUUGAAGUCCACCAUUUCUCCGCAUCUGAAAAUCAAAGUACUUUUUCUGUUACAUUUUAAUCUGACAUGAAUGAGCAACUUCCUGCUGUUUUAGGACAGGUCCUCAAUAGUACUUUUAAAGCCUUAGGAGCUUUCAAUAUCAUCAGCCAAUUAGGCAUUCACAAGACUUUUGCUACAUAUGACAAGUUUAGAAAUAUUCCUUUUUUUUUUAAGUUUCUAGAGAUGUAGAGAACUUUCUGACUUUCUAAUUGCAUGACCAUAGAUUAUGACUCUUUCCAUAAUAUGAAAUGCAUCCUGCAGUGCUUGUUCUAAACUAUACCUCAAUAGUUAUUAGUGAUGAUAACCAGAAAGAUUGACAGUUAUUUAUUGUUUCUUACCAUUAUACUCCCCACGGAAGGAGAGAGAUUUCAUACAUACUAUUUAGACAUUAUUUAAUAAGAGACUUAUAAGUCAAAGAAAUUUAAUUGCACAUUGUCACUGUCAGUCUUCCUACAAAUAAAAUACUGUAUUGAGUUCACUAAUAUACAAAUGGUGGUGGUGGUGGUGGUGGUGGUGGUAGGAUAAUCUCAAGCAGCCUGAUUUCUCAUUUGCAUUUCUACAUAAGUAAAAAAAUUCAGUUAAUUUAAAAAAUUAAAAUGUAGCAUGUGAUAUUUAUUACCACUUUUUUGCAUUCAUAAUCUAUGUAAACAUGUGAAUGAAAAUACCUAUGUGUAAUGGGAAAGAAUCUUCAAUUGUCAAAUGCUUAUCAAAUACCCAGGAGCCAACGAACACUUCCUAAAGUCUAACUGAGGGUGUCCAAAUGCAAUUCCAUUAAAGACUGCUCAGUCAUCAUUCUCCCAAGCCAAGUUCAAAAGGCCAAAGUCAGUUUUUUAAAAAAGAAUUUUUAAAUUAUUGCAUAUGCCCUUUCAAGUCAGUGUAAAACAAUCACCUUGUCCACUCAUCGGGUAAUUGCGUUCAAUGUCUACGGAGGACACUAAGCACCAGUAGUUCCAACUGAUACAUAGACAAGUUUGCUGCUGUUGAAUAAUGUUCUUAUUUUGUAUGUGUCAAGGCCAAAAUAGCAUGCUUACUUUACACAUCUAGCAAGGCUACAGUUUGUUUUCAUUUUAAAGAAGAGUUACCAAAUUGAAGUCCUUCUCUAUAAUAAAACUGUUAAAACAAAUUGACAGUCAAUAUUCCCAAACUUUAACUUGAUUAAUCCUGCUCUUGGCAAUUGCACUAUUGCAUUAUGUGUUAUAUCUUUGAUUAUCCAAUGAAGGAAUAAGAGUAGAAUAUUUCCUUAAGUGAAUUUCUGUUUCAUAUGGAAUGUGGCAACAUAUUGGUGCUAUUUAGAGAUUACAUAUCCAACAUACAAUAUAUAUUAUUGUUAUUUGUCAUGCUUAAAAACAGAAUAAAUAUAAACAUCCUCAUGUUUAUAUAUCUCUAAUUUUAGAAGGUAUAAAUAAAUGACUUAAUUGUCUCAUGAAGGAUUAGAAAAUCUUUAAUUUUAAAAAUCACUAAUGAAACUAAUUACACUGCAGGUAAUAGUAAGUAAUUUUUAAUUAUAAUAGCAAGAAGAAUGACGUAAAAGAUCCAAUUGUCUUAAGUGAUCAGAAUAACUAAUUUUUUUAAUGACCAUUUCAUGAACAAAGUCAUACUACAGUUAAUUAAUAAUAAUUUAUGAUGAUAAGGAGGAGAUAAAAAUAUAAGUAAUCUCAAGAUGCUUCUUUCUACAGUGACAUACUUACAUAACUGUGUUCAUAAAAAUUAACAAUAAUAUAUAAUGCCUUGUGAAUGAAGUACUCUGUUGUAACAAUAUAUUAUUAAUUUUAUAUGCCAUUUCCUGCUUUGAUAAAUAUAGUAUUUAUUCAACUCAAUAAAUUACUACCAAUACAGAAAAACCAAAUGUUGCACAAAGCCUAAGGCUAUUGUAUCAAUAUAAAUAUAUUCAACUUUAAGGCAAUGAUUCUGACAGAUUAGAGGACUAAAUUCAUAUAAUAGAAUGUCAUGAUUUAAACAAAAUGUGAUCCACCAGAGGUAAAAUUAUAACCUACCUAUUAUUCCUAGAAAUUUAAAGCAAUAUUUUUGUGAGAGUUAAAUAAUUUUCAGGGUGAUUUUUGUAUACAUAUUUUUAUUAUAAUAUUGACCUAAUGGGAAACAAAACUGCUUUUCACUAGCAGGGCCAGAUGUGCAGGAUGAUUAGUUAUACUUACACUCCAUUUGCCUUCAAAUUAUGUAUCUUUGAAAAAUAGGACAUGUACAUAGGUUGAUUUUCAUUUAUUUUUGUUAUCCUUUAUUUAAUGAUUUGUAUUCUCCGUUGAUAUAUGAUUGUAUUACUUAAAUCCUCUGAAAUGUUUUUAAACUAAUCAGAGUAUGUUCAAAAAGGAGAAGAAAAUGAACUUUAAGUACUUGAAUUAAGCAGCAGCAUCGUGUCUAUUUAUUUUGUUAUGUCACCCGGGCUCUUCCUUGUUGAACAAGGUAAUACAAUGGUGCAUACAAAGAUAGCCACAAAGUAGCUUACUUUAGAUAUGCUUCUUGAUUGACUGUUAAGAUAUUCAAAGAAAGCAAAAACAUCUUACAAUUAUAUAUCUAUAAAUGCAUAAGUAUGUGUAUAGAGGACUAAUAUGUAUCGUGCAUAUACAUAAUUGUAUAUCAUUGUCAGUAUGUGUUUGUACACUGACAAUUCGUAGUACCUCAAAUUAUUUUUAGCAUAUUCUGUUGUAUACAAAUUUACACUUAAUAAAGGGAGAAUUUUAAGUUAAAGGGGAAAGAUGAGGCUAAAUCAAAAGGUAAACAAAGACUUAAAAAUGCUAAGCCAGUGGUAGUCUAUUCUGAAAAUACGGACACGGUGAUUGUGAAGGGUGCCAGGUCAAGGUGUUCAUCCCAGUUUUUCACGGAUAGAAUUAAGCUGUGUAUAUGGGAAAUGGAAAUGAAGAAUAGGAUUUGUGUGCACAGCUCAUUUUUCCUCCUAGUAGAGCGAACUAAUGAAUAUUAAGAAAAUAUUAAGAAGUAUUUUUCUUUUUAAAGUGUUUACCCUGUGUUUCUCUGUCUUUGGGAAGUCAGUCACACUAGGGGUGAGAGUUCACAGUGAAUGUCUAAUCCAGACUUUGGCUAAUUAUAAGAUGAUUCCAUAGUUGUAAUCAUCUCCAAAAAGUUUAGACAUGUUCUGGCCUUUGGGUUUCAAUUAUAUAAGUAUGUCCCAUUCUGCGUCCAUAUGCACAUCUAAAUGUCAAUUGCAUGGUAACGGAGUUUAAAAAAAAUCUCAAACCAUGUUUCUGCUGGGUCUGGUUACAGCAGUUCCAUAAUGAGCACCUUUGAGCACUUUUAUUCCACUUCACAGUGUGUAAAUUCAUAAAUGCUUGGCCUUGUAUCUUUUCUGUGUUGUCAGCAUUCUCAUCAUUUUGGGAGACAAAUUGAUAUCUCCCUUAGAAAUGACCAAAUUGAGUGCCAUCUGUUACAAUGAAGGGCUACUUCAAGGAGAACUUUUAUUGAAUGCUCUGCCCUCAAAAACCAUCACUGACAUGCAGCAGAAUUUUUUUUUUUUUUGGCAAGUUAUAUAAGCAGAAAGUGAUUGUAAAUCAAACUAGAAGAAAGUAUAACAGAUAUUCCUGGAAACCAAAGAAUAUUUUAAUCAUCAAAUAAUGAAACAGAGGCAUCUAGAGUAAAGCCCUAUUGGAAAUAAUUAAUAGCACGUGGGCAAUGAUUUUUUAAAUGCUUUUUUAUUUAUUUCAUUGACAUUAGUUCUUAUAUUUGACAUCUUCUGUGUGACUAAU